CUGAGCUCCGUGUUGCUUGCCUCUCAUGACUCCAUCAGUUACGUUCUGGAUGCACCCCGCGAGGCUUGACGUUUGUUCGUUGUCCCGAACUUCGGUCCAUCAGCAGGAACUCGGUUUCGUGAGAGUGAGUGUACGGUCUGCACAACCGGGCUUUCACUGAAAUCUCUUCGUGUGCAAACUUCUCUGCAUAACGUCUCGAUCUAUCUGCUCGAGUUCGAUCGUUGAAUGUGUAUGUAUGUGUUAUCAGAACAACGUCCACAAGGUGGCCCUAAGAAACGCUGGAACGACAUCACUAGGAAAGACCUAAAUGAUCUGAACAUUCUAGAAAGCUGUUGGUAUGACUUAGCAAAUAAAUCAAGAUCUGCCUGGAGAGACCAUUACCAUGCCUGUCUGGAGUCUAGUCAAGUGUCAUCUGGCAAUGUUGAUUUACAAACUGUUGUCUGCCCUGAAUGCCACAGAGGUUUCGGAUGCAUUAAUGACUUGAAGAGACACAAAUGCAUUGCUGAAAGAGUAAAACCUAUACAUCAACAAAAAAAAAGCAAUUGAAUGCCAGACCUGUAAGUAGGAGUUUCGAAGCAAAGGAGACUAUGCAAUACACAAAUGCAUCAAUAUUCAUGGGAAAACUUUAUUGUGACUUUGUCUUUGUCCUCACUCAAGGGGUACCAUGUCCGUCUAGACGGAAGCAAUACAGGAGGAGGAGGAGGAGGAGGAGGAGGAGGAGGAGGAGGAGGAGGACAAUGCUGAGAUACUUAUGUUUCCUUUUGGAAUUUGCCACCUAAGAAGCAUCCAUUAAUUCUACCAUGAAAACAUUUGAUACACUAGCUGGCCUGUUUGUGAUUAUGGAUGCAUCAUAGUUGUGAUUGUGACUCAAUUAAGAGAAAGGUCAAUGUUGAAUUUGAGGUACAACAUGCUGUCACAAGGGUGUGGCAACUCAGUCAAGUUGAUAUGUUGUAAGUUUGAUCAAUAUGAUAAAUUGCAAUCUGACUGAUCUGACUAUUCCAGUUAAGUUAAUUACUACUGCACUAACUAACAGUCCACCUAUUACUACAAAUACAAGUAUGGCAAGUUGGAAGAUUGCAGUACUUGUUUCAACACUACUAGCUGUUCAUCUGCAUUACUGUAAUUGUCAGAAUUGUUGCUAUUUCAAAUCCAAAGAACCAGGCCAGGAGCAUAUCAAACACCAGGUCAGGAAUCAAGGUGUGGUGUGAUGUGAGUGGUAUGUAUGUGGGAGCAGCUAAAUGGGUGGUUUCUGGAUGUGUGUAAAUGAGUGAUUGCAGGAUGUGUGAAUGGGUGUGUACAGAUUAUUAGUUUAUCUGUAACAAUAUUUUUGUUCAUUUUAAUAAUAGAAACAAUCAUUUCUUUAGCAAUCAAUGGUGAUUGUGCAGUCUGCAAAAAUCACCAUUCGACAUCAGACAUUUUUUACUAAAAUGUGCUUUGGUCCGAUGCUACAUCUUUCAAUUAGACAUCAUGCCUGGCGUCUGACAUUUUACAAGCUGCCUGGUUAUAAUUAGACUUGUAACUAGCUCUGAAAGAAUAGUUUAGGUAGAGACUUUUUAGAAAGUGUUAAUUGAGUGUGCAUAGUAGAAGAGAGACAAUUAAGUAUGUAUAGAACAAGAUUCUAGAUAGAAGAACAAGUGAUUAGAGUUCUUGUUGAAAUUAAUUAAAGUAAUAAAUUGACACACACACACACACCUCCAUGUCUAAAACUCUAAUUCGCGCACUGUUAUGAUUGCGAAUGCUUUACUUCCCAAUAACCUUCAGUUUUGUUUAUGCAUUCAACUGCUGAUGAUAAUCAUGCACAUAAGUAUCUGAAAUGUUGGCUACAGUUGGGGUAAAAAGUGGAAUUAAUGCAAUUUCUCAUAGACCUAUAGCUGAAGAGCUAGCAUGCAGUAGCAAGGAAUAUCCCACAAUGGGCAACUACACUGUAACACACAUCAAAUAUGCAUCGUACUAGUAUAGUAUCUCCACAAUAAUAUUAUGCGGUAUAUUCACCGAGAGCUGUAUGAAGAUUUCAGCAAUCAAUGCAAGUGACUCUCAAAAGUUACGUACUUUAAUUGUGACACUGUAUGAAUUGUAUUCAUGAUAAUGUCG